GGCAGGGUCAUAAGAGGCAGCAGAGGUGUAGGGAUAGAGACAGCUCUGUAGCUCUGGCCAUCCAUCACAGUCACUGUAGUAAUUUCUCUCCCUACCAGGCUCCCUGGAGAGAGCAUAAGGCUGCUAAUGAAUGUCUGAGAGGGUGAGAGAGGUCCAGAAAUUUUCCCAAAGCCCACUCUGAGGAUCAGUUGGAAGAAAAGUGGUCAGGAAACACAAGCCACAGACUGCUAAAUCCAAUCCCAAAAGAAAGAAAAGAUCCCUGCUCAUCCCUCCAGAACAACAGCUUUCCAUUCUGAGGAAUCUUGGAGAGAAGACUAAAGAGGAUUGUCAAAAGGGUCUUGAGAAACAUCUGCCUGAAUUAUGAGGAGAGAUGAGGAGGCCAAAGGUAAAGGACUUGGGCACGUUGAUUCCUUUGGAAAAAUUCUAAGGAAGAUGUCCCUAGAAGGCUAAGAUACAUCAUCCCCUGAGCAGGAUCCCUGUUUAUCUGGUUAUUUAGACAUGGAGGAGUACUCGGACAUUCUCUCUUCCCCCAUAUAUUCUGGCAUUGCUGAGUUCUCUUUAUGGACUCAUAUUAGGAAUUCUCCUCUAUCCACCCUUGGUGUGCAGAAUUCAGCAUUGACCAGUCCUUUCUGGUAUUAAUGACUCCCUGUGUGAUCUAUGAAGCCAAUUAGUAUGAAAAACUCUUGUAUUUGGGGUAUAGAGAUUCACUGUAUUCUCCCUUGGGAAGUGACAUUUGAUUAUUCCAGUGAGCUUCUCCUUGUUCACAUACAUCAGUCUUUGGGUAGCUUCUAUCUCUAUAUGAAUCCUGCAUUGGUGAGAGCUGAUUCCAUCCAGAUUCCUCUUCCUGUGGUCUACAUAUUCCCUCCUUACUCUAUAUAUGAGGAAUAAGACACUGUCUGUGGACACCAAUAGGAGUCUUCCAAAGCCCAUCCCCAGGAGAGAAGAAGCAGAAUCCUUUCAGGUAUACAGAGAGAAGAGCCCAUAUAUGAAUCAGAGAGAGGAAGAUAAAGCUCUAUCUAUCUAUAAUAUAUGUAGGAAGACUUUCUGUGAGUGCCUAGACAUGGAGAAGGAGGAAAAAGGAUGAUUUCUGAUGUUCAUGAGGACCGAGGUUGUGUAAGUCCUGGAAAUGAAUUGCUAGAAACAGUAUAAGUAAUUCUGGAGAGGAAUAAGGAGGGGGCAGCCUGAGGAUGUAGAAACAUGAAUAUAUUCUCUUUCCUCAAACACAAGAGAUGUCACACAUUCUCUGCAUUUUAAUACAUGCAAAUUUGCCUUUAUACAAUAUUUGAGAGACUCCAGAGUCAGGAAUGUGGAGAGUAGAUAUAUCAACAAAAUGGGCCUGAUCUCUCUGUAUAUAGUGUUAUGCAGUAAAACUCUGUGGUCUCCCAAGCAGGAAGGGAAGGGGGAGAUGAAGAGAUCCCCCUGAUGAGAAUAGUCUGAUGACACAAAGACCCCAUUACAUCAUAAUAUGCUGACUGGAGGGGGCAGGGUCAUAAGAGGCAGCAGAGGUGUAGGGAUAGAGACAGCCCUGGGGCUCUGGCCAUCCAUCACAGUCACUGUAGUCAUCUCCCUCCUAGCCAGACUCCCUGGAGAGAGCAGAAGAGUAAAGAGGGAAUAUGUGGAACACAUGAAGAGGAAUCUAGAUGGAAUCAGCUCUCACUAGUCCAGGACUCAUAUAAGCUAACCAAGAACUGAUGUGAAGAAGUAGAAGCAUACUGGAAUAAUCAAAUGUCACUUCUCAAGGGAGAAUAGAGUGAAUCUCUGCACUCCAAAUACAAGAGUUUUCAUGCUAAUUGGCUUCAUAGAUCACACACGUAGAAAGAAUUGGACUGGGCUGAAUUCUGGACACCAAGUGUGUAUAGAGGAUAAUUCCUAAUAUGAAUCCAUAAAGAGAACACAGCAAUACUGGAAUGUAUGUGGGAGGAGAGAAUGGUUGGGUGCUCCUCCAUGUCUAAAUAACCACAUAAACAGGGAUCCUGCUCAAGGAAUGAUGUAUCUUAGACUUCUACUGAUGUCUUCCAUUGGAAUUUUUCCAAAGGAAUCAACCUUCUCAACUCCUUUACUUUGGUCUGUUAAUCUCUCCUCGUAAUGUAGGCAGAUGUUUCUCAAGGCCCUUUUGACACUCCCCUUUAAUCUUCUCUCCAAGAUUCCUAAUGUAUAUCAAUGAAAAAAUUUUAAAUGAUUGAAUUUAGGGGUACAGGAGUGAGUAUAUCUGGUGUGAAAACCUGUAUCUA